rnacentral:rRNA from 1 species
GACGGAGGGUGCAAGCGUUGCUCGGAAUCACUGGGCGUAAAGCGCACGUAGGCGGCUUGUUAAGUCAGGGGUGAAAUCCUGGAGCUCAACUCCAGAACUGCCUUUGAUACUGGCGAGCUUGAGUCCGGGAGAGGUGAGUGGAACUGCGAGUGUAGAGGUGAAAUUCGUAGAUAUUCGCAAGAACACCAGUGGCGAAGGCGGCUCACUGGCCCGGUACUGACGCUGAGGUGCGAAAGCGUGGGGAGCAAACAGG